rnacentral:lncRNA from 1 species
UAUGUUAUUGAUGUAUUACAAUAGUGGCCCUUGAACAAUGGGUUUGUUUACAUGAGUUAUUAUAUGUAGGUUUGUUGAAUAAAUUCGUAACCCGAUUAACAAAUAGAUCGGUUAGGGUGCGUUGGUUGGUGGGUUGGUGUCAAUGUUUUAAAAUCCGGUUUUUAUAUCGUACCAGAUUUGCUUCAAAAACGGUUAACCGAGUGUAUCGGGCGGUUCAACCGGGUGUACCGGACGGUUUAAUUGGAUGGUUCAACCGGUAUAACGGCUGGUUUGAACCGGUUUUUCAAAACAUUGGUUGGUGUUAUUUACUUAUUGCGCUUAUCCGAAGUAUAUCGAUUCGGUUCAUAAAAUGAAUUAAAAAUAACAGACGUAAAAUGAGAAAGCGGUUGUGUGUGAUGGUGGUUGGUGGAAGAGGAAUGAUGUGGUAGGAGGCGAUGAGUUGUGGUGUACGAAGGUUGUAAAUAAAAUGUGGGUGAAUGAGAAUUAGUAGGUGGAUGAUGGUGGUGGUUUUAGGUCAAUCGGGAAGGACCAAUGAAAUGAGUUCGAUUCAUAAAAUGUAAGCAAAUAACCUAAAGAGAGGAAUUGUUAGGGAUUGAAAUAAGAAAGUAAUGGUUAGGGAUUUGAAUGACAAAAGGUAAAAGAAUUUAUAGUGU